rnacentral:rRNA from 1 species
AGAGUUUGAUCAUGGCUCAGGACGAACGCUGGCGGCGUGCUUAACGCAUGCAAGUCGAACGAGGUCCAUCCAGCUUGCUGGUGAAGACCUAGUGGCGAACGGGUGAUUAACACGUGAGGAACCCACCCUGGAGACCGGGAUAACCCCCCGAAAGGGGAGCUAAUACCGGAUGCCCUCAUCGGAUCGCAUGUUCUGAUGAGGAAAUGGAUUCCGCUCCAGGACGGCCUCGCGGCCUAUCAGCUUGUUGGUGGGGUAACGGCCCACCAAGGCGUCGACGGGUAGCUGGUCUGAGAGGACGGUCAGCCACACUGGGACUGAGACACGGCCCAGACUCCUACGGGAGGCAGCAGCGGGGAAUAUUGCGCAAUGGGCGAAAGCCUGACGCAGCAACGCCGCGUGAGGGAUGAAGGCUCUCGGGUUGUAAACCUCUUUCAGCAGGGACGAUUGUGACGGUACCUGCAGAAGAAGCCCCGGCCAACUACGUGCCAGCAGCCGCGGUGAUACGUAGGGGGCGAGCGUUGUCCGGAUUUAUUGGGCGUAAAGAGCUCGUAGGUGGUUCGAUAAGUCGGGUGUGAAAACUCUGGGCUUAACUCAGAGACGCCACCUGAUACUGUCGUGACUUGAGUCUGGUAGGGGAGUGUGGAAUUCCCGGUGUAGCGGUGAAAUGCGCAGAUAUCGGGAGGAACACCAGUGGCGAAGGCGGCACUCUGGGCCAGUACUGACACUGAGGAGCGAAAGCGUGGGUAGCGAACAGGAUUAGAUACCCUGCUAGUCCACGCCGUAAACGUUGGGCACUAGGUGUGGGUCUCAACCAACGGGAUCCGUGCCGCAGCUAACGCAUUAAGUGCCCCGCCUGGGGAGUACGGCCGCAAGGCUAAAACUCAAAGGAAUUGACGG